UACGAAGGGGGCUAGCGUUGCUCGGAAUCACUGGGCGUAAAGCGCACGUAGGCGGAUCGCUAAGUCAGGGGUGAAAUCCUGGAGCUCAACUCCAGAACUGCCUUUGAUACUGAAGAUCUUGAGUUCGGGAGAGGUGAGUGGAACUGCGAGUGUAGAGGUGAAAUUCGUAGAUAUUCGCAAGAACACCAGUGGCGAAGGCGGCUCACUGGCCCGUACUAGACGCUGAGGCACGAAAGCGUGGGGAGCAACAGG
rnacentral:rRNA from 1 species